AAGUCGGAUGGAACUUGCAUCCAUAAGGAAUGCACGGAUCAUUUGUGGCAUCGAGUUAUGCGGAUGGCACUGGAACACAAAUAGUAAUAAUAUAUAGCAGAACAAUAUAGAGGAAUACUCCGGUGAUGUGUGGCAUCAAAACAUGUUGAGCUUCCAUUUUCUCGUGCAGCAGACCCUCGCUCCUCAAGAUCAUCUCGUUAUAAAUAGGGCCAGUGUUGGCAUCGUCUUUGGUGAGGUUGUCCAUCACAUGUAGCGAGAUCCAUCAUCAUGAGGCGUCUGGAUAAAUCGUCGAGAAAUUCUUUCUUUAUUGAGGAAUGAAUAUUAUAUCGAAUAUAUACAAAUACAA